CUUGCAACCAUAUCAUGUUGAAACACCAGUUCCUGUAUGAACACUGAAGUUAAGCAAUUUUGAGCCUGGCCAGUACCUAGAUAGGUGACCACUUGGGAAUAUCAGAUAAUGUA